rnacentral:rRNA from 1 species
GAUGAACGCUGGCGGCGUGCCUAAUACAUGCAAGUCGAGCGAAGCGGGGGCGGUUGAGUAACACUUGGAUAACCUCCGAUAACACUGGGAUAACGUCGGGAAACCGGAGCUAAACCGGAUACUUAGAGAUCGCUCCUCGCUGCAUUAGCUAUUUGGUAAGGUAACGGCUUACCAAGGCAACUAUGCAUAGCCGACCUGAGAGGGUGAUCGGCCACACUGGAACUGAGACACGGUCCAGACUCCUACGGGAGGCAGAAGUAGGGAAUCUUCCGCAAUGGGCGAAAGCCUGACGGAGCAACGCCGCGUGAGUGAUGAAGGUCUUCGGAUCGUAAAACUCUGUUAUUAGGGAAGCGGUACCUAAUCAGAAAGCCACGGCUAACUACGUGCCAGCAGCCGCGGUAAUUC